rnacentral:lncRNA from 1 species
UCCCAGAAUGCAUCCCCUAAGCAAAGGAAGCAGAGUGUGUACACGCCACCGGCUAUGAAAGGACCAAGCAACCAAGAAGAAAAGAAGAGAUGGGAAUAGUAAAAGGCAACUGCAUUAGGGGAAGAUGGAUCAGAAGAGAAGAGGGAUUGCCUUGUGUUAUUAUACGACAGUCAACGGAACCAAACUAAGUCAUGAGUCAGAGAUGUAUACACACAUAUAGCAUGUAAUGACAUAAGUACUGUAACUGAGUAUUUUGUCUUUGAAAACUCGGUCUUAGAAAAUGAUUCUAAAUUGUAAUCUGUUUUUGUUUGUUUGCUUGCUUUUGUUCACGUUUUUGUCUUUGUCUUGUUUUUGUUUUAUUUUAUUUGAAACUUCUUCCAGGAAAAAUUUUCAGCCACAAAUCACUAACGGAAUAAUUUACUCUACUUACUGUGUGAACUGUUGCUAUAAAAUAUUGCAUACCAGGUUUUUUUCUUUUACAAAGAUUUAUGUGAUGUGGUAUUAAAUUCUCUGGAAUGUG